CCUACGGGUGGCAGCAGUGGGGAAUAUUGGGCAAUGGAGGCAACUCUGACCCAGCAACGCCGCGUGAAUGAUGAAGGUCUUCUGAUUGUAAAGUUCUGUGAUGGGGGAUGAACACAAUGACGGUACCCCAAUAUCACGCCACCGCUAACUACGUGCCAGCAGCCGCCUUAAUACGUAGGGGGCAAGCGUUAUCUGGAUUGACUGGGCGGAAAGGGUGCGUAGGUGGUUUAGUAAGUUGGCGGUGUAAUUCCGGGGCUCAACCUCGGCGUUACCGCCAAAACUAUUAGACUAGAGUGCGGGAGGGGUAAGUGGAAUUCCUAGUGUAGCGGUGGAAUGCGUAGAUAUUAGGAAGAACAUCAGGGGCGAAGGCGACUUACUGGACUGUAACUGACACUGAGGCACGAAAGCGUGGGGAGCAAACAGGAUUAGAUACCCUUGUAGUC
rnacentral:rRNA from 1 species